rnacentral:lncRNA from 1 species
UGCAACUUUAGGAAAAUAAUAUUUAUAGCUUUAAUUUAUUAUACUGCAAUUUUAAAGAGAUAAUAUUUACUAUCUUCAAUCUGCUCCACUGCAACUUCAAGAAGAUAAGAUUUGUUAUCUUCAAUCUGCUUCACUACAACUUCAAAAAUAGUCAAGUUAUGUCCGAGAAAUCAAACUUAGAUUACCAAGAAAAUAAAUUAGAAUUGAACAACAUAUACACAAACCAGGCUCAGAAC